AUUGAACGCUGGCGGCAGGCCUAACACAUGCAAGUCGAGCGGAGCGGCGGACGGGUGAGUAAUGCCUAGGAAUCUGCAUGGCAGUGGGGGAUAACGUACGGAAACGGGCGCUAAUACCGCAUACUAUCAGAUGAGCCUAGGUCGGAUUAGCUAGGUGGUGGGGUAAAGGCGUACCAAUGCGACGAUCCGUAACUGGGCUGAGAGGAUGAUCAGUCACACUGGAAAUAAGACCUGGCCCAGACUCCUACGGGAGGCAGCAGUGGGGAAUAUUGGACAAUGGGCGAAAGCCUGAUCCAGCCAUGCCUCGUGUGUGAAGAAGGUGUUCGGAUUGUAAAGCACUUUAAGUUGGGAGGCGUUACCAACAGAAUAAGCACCGGCUAACUUCGUGCCAGCGGCCGCGGUAAUAC
rnacentral:rRNA from 1 species